rnacentral:tRNA from 1 species
GACAGGGUCAGCUAAAUAAGCUUUCGGGCCCAUACCCCGAACAUGACGGUUGAAAUCCCUCCUCUGUCA